UAGGGGCGUCAGUGAGGUAGGUGAGUGGGAGGAUGUCGGGUAGGGGCUUCAGUGAGGUAGGUGAAUGGGAGGAUGUCGGGUAGGGGCGUCAGUGAGGUAGGUGAGUGGGAGGAUGUCGGGUAGGGGCGUCAGUGAGGUAGGUGAGUGGGGGCGUCAGUGAGGUAGGUGAGUGGGGGCGUCAGUGAGGUAGGUGAGU